rnacentral:misc_RNA from 1 species
GAUGAAGAACGUAGCGAAAUGCGACAAGUAAUGUGAAUUGCAGAAUUCAGUGAAUCAUCGAAUCUUUGAACGCACAUUGCGCCCCUUGGUAUCCCGAGGGGCAUGCCUGUUCGAGCGUCAUUUCACCACUCAAGCCUGGCUUGGUGUUGGGCGACGUCCCCUUUGGGGACGCGCCUCGAAACGCUCGGCGGCGUGGCACCGGCUUUAAGCGUAGCAGAAUCUUUCGCUUUGGAAGUCGGGGCCCCGUCUGCCGGAAGACCUACUCGCAAGGUUGACCUCGGAUCAGGCAGGGAUACCCGCUGAACUUAAGCAUAUCAAUAAGCGGAGGA